UGAACCAAUUUAUUGAGAGGUUUUUCUCAGA
rnacentral:piRNA from 1 species